AGAGUUUGAUCCUGGCUCAGGAUGAACGGCUAGCGGCAGGCUUAACACAUGGCAAGUCGAGGGGCGAUCGGGAGGGAAGCUUGCUUCCUUGCCGGCGACCGGCGCACGGGUGAGUAACACGUAUGCAACCUGCCCUCUUCAGGGGGACAACCUUCCGAAAGGGAGGCUAAUCCCGCGUAUAUCGGUUUCGGGCAUCCGAGAUCGAGGAAAGAUUCAUCGGAAGAGGAUGGGCAUGCGGCGCAUUAGCUUGACGGCGGGGUAACGGCCCACCGUGGCGACGAUGCGUAGGGGUUCUGAGAGGAAGGUCCCCCACACUGGUACUGAGACACGGACCAGACUCCUACGGGAGGCAGCAGUGAGGAAUAUUGGUCAAUGGGAGAGAUCCUGAACCAGCCAAGCCGCGUGAGGGAAGACGGCCCUAUGGGUUGUAAACCUCUUUUGUCGGAGAACAAAACCCGGGACGUGUCCCGGACUGCGUGUAUCCGAAGAAAAAAGCAUCGGCUAACUCCGUG
rnacentral:rRNA from 1 species